ACACUUGAAAUUAAGAGUACAUAGAGAUGGCUAAACUCAACAAGACUACUUUUCUUGCUCUCUUCUUCUGCUUCCUCAUUAUUGCAGCCUACGGUAGGUAGUUUUGAUCUCCAUGAGCAGAUAAUUCAAUUUCUAUUCCUGGAAAACAUUAUCAUGUUUAGUACAUAGGACUGAACAAGAUUUGUUGAGAGAACCACUCUUUUUUUUUUUUUAUUAAUCACAUUCAAUCAAGAUUAGUCGAAUGUAACAAUAUAUGUCCUCACUUUAUUCAUUAUUUUUCAAUGCACCAUGCAUAUGAUUAUCAUUAGAAAAUAACCGGAGACAGUUAAUCACCUUAUUCAUUAUUUUUCAUAGUUUUUCUUGACACCUUUCCACCCACGAAAAAAAAUAAAAUUCCUAUGGGUGAAUUUUGUUUGUUUUUCAUUUUUCUUAACAUGAUAAGAACUUACAGAAUAUAUACAUUUGAGUAGGAUUAAGAAGUGUUCUUAAAAAGUAAAAUAAAAUGACAUAAAUUUAUUGAAUAACUGAUACUAUUUAUCUUUCCUGAUCCAAUUUUUACGCAGAGAUGCAAUUGGGGGAGGCAAAACCUUGCACAAAACUUAGCAAAGGAUGGCGUGGGUUGUGUGCUCCUCAUAAAUGCAGCAGUUACUGUAUUCACCACGAGGGAGCUUACCAUGGUGCUUGUCUAAAAAAUCACCAUAGUAAGCAUUAUGGUUGCUACUGCUACUACCGUCAUUGCUAAUCGAUGAAUUUAUAUGUACUUGUUGGAGGUCAUGCCUUGUGCCCAUCUACAAGUUCGUACUGUGUUUAUGUUUCCAAUAAUAUUGCAAUCCUCGAGUGCUUUCGUUUAGAAAAGUAAAAGCUGCCUGUGUGAGCUCUUGUAGCUGGAGGUGUGACUUGUGUCCACUAGUUCGUGUUACUUUUGUUGUACUUGUAUACCUAACUAUUGAAGAUUGUAAGUUUCUUUUAGUCUGUUUAUUGAUCAAAAUAUAAAGUGAGGAUGUGUUAAAGACAGGAUUUAAAUAAAUAACUGUGUCCACUCAUUGAACAUAAAAUUUUAUAUGAAGUGGC
rnacentral:lncRNA from 1 species